rnacentral:lncRNA from 1 species
CCAACAACAUGGCACCAAAUUGCCGUCUACUAGGCCAAAGAUAUACGCCAUCAAUCAUGGCCACCCAUAAAUGGUACAAAUAAAAUCCAAUAAUCAAGAAUGCAAGUAAUUAUACACCAAUUAACAAAAUGCAUUAAACUCUAAUCAAUGAGGAUCAAAACAUUUAGAACAUAUAUUUAUUAGUAAUUACUCAAGAAAUAAAAUAAAAUUCAAAU